GACGAACGCUGGCGGCGUGCUUAACACAUGCAAGUCGAACGAAGUGGCGAACGGCUGAGUAAUACGUGCGUAACCUGCCCUCCUUUUUGGGAUAAGCCUUGGAAAAGGGGCCUAAUACCGCAUCAAGGGGGAUGGGCUAGCGGCCUAUCAGCUUGUUGGUGGGGUGAUGGCCUAACAAGGCGGUGACGAGUAGCCGGGCUAACAGGGUGAGCGUCCACAUUGGGACUGAGAUACGGCGAAGACUCCUACGGGGGGCAGCAGUGGGGGAUAUUGCAAGAUGGGCGAAAGACUGAUGCAGCGACGACGCGUGGGGGAUGAGAGCUUUCGGGUUGUAAACCUCUUUCGCUAUCGAAAGGGUAGGAGGAGAAGCAGCGCCGGCUAAAUACGUGCCAGCAGCCGCGGUAAUUG
rnacentral:rRNA from 1 species